rnacentral:rRNA from 1 species
CCCUUAGAUGUUCUGGGCCGCACGCGCGCUACACUGACGAAUGCAACGAGCUUAUAACCUUGUCCGAAAGGUCUGGGUAAUCUCCAAAUUUCGUCGUGAUGGGGAUAGAUUAUUGCAAUUAUUAAUCUUCAACGAGGAAUGCCUAGUAAGCGCAAGUCAUCAGCUUGCGUUGAUUACGUCCCUGCCCUUUGUACACACCGCCUGUCGCUCCUACCGAUUGAAUGGUCCGGUGAAGCGUUCGGACCGUGGCCUUUGGACGGUUCGCCGUCUGUUGGCUGCGGGAAGUUCGUUAAACCUUAUCAUUUAGAGGAAGGAGAAGUCGUAACA